AUAUAUAGUUAUAGUUCGAGAUGUGUUAAGUCCGCACCGAUCUCCCACCAUCUUACUAAUGACGCCAAGGGUAUGCAUAGAAAAGCAAAUGCACUUCUUAAUAUCCUUUUAAUCUUAUUGGUCUUAUUGGUUUGGUGUGGUGAUUGCUGUCUCUGCUGUCUUUACUUCAAGCGCGCGCUUCCCACUUCCCACGUUGCGAGCGUGGGAAACAAAAAUGAAAAACGUCCCAACGAAGCGAAUAUAAAGGCCAAAAAGCAAUACUUGAUAAAAAAAUAAACAGAAAGCAAAGACUCCGGGUACUCUGUUGUUUACGAAUGAGACAUGAGAAAAUUGAACAUCUUCACUAAAGAGCGCGGAACUAGCUGCUACUAUCGUUGAGUCUUCUUCUUUUCAGUACAAUGAUAACAUACAAAGCGAAUGGUUAACAUAAUACUUAGAACUAUAUUCGUCUUGUUCUAACUAUAGUGAUUGAAGCAUUUGCUACAUGCGAACGAUAACAAAGAGUAAAAAGAUAAAAACAAUGGUUGUGAGAGAGAGGCUUGCUCAUUGCCUCAGCUGUGACGAACAGACAAAACAAAACUUAAAAAAACUAAAUAACAAAUAGAUCUGUUUUAGACAGCGACUAACAGAUUUGUAUGUGUAAAUAUCACAGAUUUGUUUUAAAUAACAUGAAUUGUUAUAAAAUCGAAUGCUCAGAACUGUGGUAGUGUGUAUACAGCGGAAUCUUCAUCGGGUUCAUUUAUAAUUCCUAUUGGAGACAAAUAUGGUGAUUCCGACCAGUUCGUGUAUUUUUCCAGAUCGUGGAUUUCAUUUAGGAGGAAGUUCCCAUGCGUGGCCAGUUUUUCAACAAAUCUCUUCUGUUGGUUUUGUGCAUACUUACAGAGAGGAACAAUACUUGAUGUAUUGUAAAUGAUUUCCAGUUCUUUGGCUACUAUUGGUGAAAUGGUAAACCAGACCGGGAACCCAUACAAUAAAAUAGGCCUUAUCGCUACUUUAUAGAGAAGUAGUUUUGUGUUCUGGGAUCGUGCGUGCUGGUUGAAUUUGAAAAGGUUGGUGAAAUGAACCCCAAAAAUUUUAUUGACGUUUUCAAUGGGAUUUCAAUGUCUUCAAAUGUCAAC